rnacentral:lncRNA from 1 species
AAAGCCAUUAAUCGAGAAGCUCACAAAGAGCCUAUCAGAGAGCUUAUCCAGGCUAUAUAAUAGGAAGCUCAGGAAGAGCCAUUAAUCAGGAUCUCCGGAUAGCCAUGUAUCAGAAAGUUCAAGCGAGCCAUAUCAGGACGCUCACAAAGAGCUGCGUUUGUGUCUGUAACAUAUGCAGGAUCACAACCGAUCAUAGAAUAGGACGAUCACAAAAAGGUACGGUAGUCCGCAACACAUGCAGAAUCACUACCGAUCAGGAUGCUCGCAGGAACCGUAUAACGAGAGGGCUUAUAACGGGAUGCUCGUAGGAGCUGAGGUGUGUCCGCAACACAUGUAGGACCAUAACCAAUCGGGAAAUCCUGUAUCCAUCGAAUUCCAUUAUUCAAACAAGAUUUAAUAUUUAUCGGGCUUUGUCUGAUAUGUAAACAAUUUCAUAUAUUUGGAAAUUAUAAAAUUCACAUACACAACAUUUAAUUCAAACAUAUAAAUAUACACAAUUUAGUUACACGAACUUACCUCGACAAAUGAUCGUGUACGUAAAAUCUACUAAUCCUACAUUUUCUCUUUUCCUCGUUCUAACUCCGAAUUUG